rnacentral:sRNA from 1 species
UAAUUAGUAAAUAUCAGGAUAAACGAGC